UACGGGGGGGGCGAGCGUUGUCCGACGUUACUGGGCGUAAAGCGCGUGUAGGCGGGUUGUUAAGUCCGCUGUGAAAGCCCGGUGCUCAACGCCGGAGGGUCGGUGGAUACUGGCAGUCUUGAAGUGGCUAGGGGGAAAUGGAAUUACCGGUGUAGCGGUGAAAUGCGUAGAUAUCGGUAGGAACACCAGUGGCGAAGGCGGUUUCCUGGAGCUGACUUGACGCUGAGACGCGAAAGCUGGGGGAGCAAACGGG
rnacentral:rRNA from 1 species